rnacentral:rRNA from 1 species
GGGCCCGCACAAGCGGUGGAGCAUGUGGUUUAAUUCGAUGCAACGCGAAGAACCUUACCAGGGCUUGACAUACUACAAAUUCUUUUGAGAAAAAGAAGUGCCUUCGGGAAUGUAGAUACAGGUGGUGCAUGGCUGUCGUCAGCUCGUGUCGUGAGAUGUUGGGUUAAGUCCCGCAACGAGCGCAACCCUUAUUUUUAGUUACCAAUUCGUUGGGUUUUUUAGAAAGACUGCCGGUGACAAACCGGAGGAAGGUGAGGAUGACGUCAAGUCAGCAUGCCCCUUAUGUCCUGGGCUACACACGUGCUACAAUGGUUAAGACAAAGGGCUGCAAGUUCGCGAGGACAAGCAAAUCCCAUAAACCGUGGCUCAGUUCAGAUCGUAGGCUGCAACUCGCCUACGUG